UACGGAGGGUGCAAGCGUUAUCCGGAUUCACUGGGCUUAAAGGGUGCGUAGGCGGGUUUGUAAGUCAGUGGUGAAAUCCCGAAGCUUAACUUCGGAACUGCCGUUGAUACUACAGGUCUUGAAUACUCGGGAGGUGAGCGGAAUAUGUCAUGUAGCGGUGAAAUGCUUAGAUAUGACAUAGAACACCGAUUGCGAAGGCAGCUCACUACAGAGUCAUUGACGCUGAGGCACGAAAGCGUGGGGAUCAAACAGG
rnacentral:rRNA from 1 species